AUACUUACCUGGCAGGGGAGAUACCAUGAUAAUGAAGGUGGUUUUCCCAGGGUGAGGCUUACCCAAUGCACUCCAGAUGCACUGACUCCUGUGAGUUGCACAAACUCAACUGCAUAAUUUGUGGCAGUGGCAGGGGGAGGGGCUGCAUUCACUUUCUCCCC
rfam:Neotoma lepida isolate 417 scaffold_343, whole genome shotgun sequence.